rnacentral:rRNA from 1 species
ACCAUGGGAGUUGGUUCUACCCGAAGACGGACAGCGAACCGCAAGGAGGCAGUCGACCACGGUAGGGUCAGCGACUGGGGUGAAGUCGUAACAAGGUAGCCGUAGGGGAACCUGCGGCUGGAUCACCUCCUUU